UACGUAGGGUGCAAGCGUUGUCCGGAAUUAUUGGGCGUAAAGAGCUCGUAGGCGGUCUGUCGCGUCGGAUGUGAAAAUCCAGGGCUCAACCCUGGACCUGCAUUCGAUACGGGCAGACUAGAGUUCGGUAGGGGAGACUGGAAUUCCUGGUGUAGCGGUGAAAUGCGCAGAUAUCAGAGGAACACCGGUGGCGAAGGCGGGCAUCCUGGGCCGGAACUGACGCUGAGGACGAAAGCUGGGGAGCAAACGGG
rnacentral:rRNA from 1 species